rnacentral:tRNA from 1 species
AGCUUAAUAGUUUAUUUAAAAAUAUUUACUUGUGGUGUAAAAGAAUAAAGAGCUU